rnacentral:lncRNA from 1 species
AAGAACUAGAAAGCCAGAGCCUGAGGACCAGGAGUUGUCACAGGUGUCUGAUGUCCCCGUCCUCAGCCAGGUUCUGACCAUAAAGAAAGACCUGUAAGAUGGGAACAGCCUGAAGCCAGCCAGCAGCCAACAUCACUUUGAACAGGUCGCUGAUAAAGCCAAAUGAGUCCCUUUGAGAGCAGAGGCCGCUGGAAUUCACCUGCGGUUAUGGACACUGUGACUUUGGACUGCAGGUCUCACCCCUUCUCCAGGUAACAAGGGCAGCCCAGAGAGUCACUACGACACUGACUGCUGCUUGUCAACUCAGAUCUAGAAUCAGUCGCUUGGGAAAUAUGGGAAAUCCUGAUGGAUUAACUGCAGUGGGAAGCUAGGCAGCACUAUUCCAUGAUCUGGGUUCCUGGGCCGUUCGAAAAGUAGAAAGGGUGUUGAGCAGGGUGUGGAAUUCUCAGCGAUUCCUGAGGGCUCAGAGACAUCGAUUCCUGAGAGCUCAGAGACAUCGAUUCCUGAGGGCUCAGAGACAUCGAUUCCUGAGGGCUCAGAGACAUCGAUUCCUGAGGGCUCAGAGACAGCGAUUCCUGAGGGCUCAGAGACAAGCUGCCCUGCCUCCUGCUCCAUGACUUCUUCACUGGGACACACUGCGUCCUCGAAGUCUCAGCUCAAACCAGCCCUUCCUUUCCUGAAUGGCGUUUGUCAGGUGUUCCUCACAGCAAAGAGAAGAACAAUGAAUAGGGGAACUCUUGUACUCAAGGCCUGCCUGUGGAGGUGUGGGAAUGAUUUGUGACUGGGGCAAGAAGAGGAGAGCAUUAGAGGCCAAACCAGGAAGUUCGGAAACACCUCCCAUUCAGAGUUCAACACUACAUACUGUAUCAUGUGAAGUCUGAUGGGGGCAGGGGGGGGCAAGGGGGGGAAGUAGUCAGCUGUGAGACUUCCAAUUCAAAUGAAGGAGAAAGAAUACUCAAAGUUUAAAAAUAUAUAUAUAGAAAAUGCCACCUUGGUGUUUAUUCUAAACCAUAGCCUUAAGGGCAAGUAAAAUUCUGUAUUGUUUCAUAAUGUACAAAAAGAUUGUAUGUACUAUUUGAAGCUGUCAGAACUAACUCACACACACAUCUUUCUCCACUGCUGGACUUACCUUAAACUUUAGACUACGUGAAAAUGAAACUGUCCAUUGUCCAGGAAAAUAUGAGAAAUAGCUGUUCUUAGUUAGAACCCCUGUUGGCUGAGUGUGGCAGUGAAUGCUUGCACACCCCAGCCCUUGGGAGGCAAAGAUAGAAAGGUCACAAGCUCCAGGUCAGCCUGUUCUACACAAAGAGGCUCACACCAUCCUAGACAACGUAGGGAAAUGCUGUCACAAAGACUGUAGUUAGCGAAAACCUCCGGACACGUCCCCAGUGCACCGGUUACACACCCGUGGGAAAGCAUGGGGACACACAUGUCAAGAUCUCAGUUCCAGUACCAGCUCUGUCAGAUGUGAGCCUGCCUGUCACUUGUGUUCCCAUUAUGAGCUACACAUAGGGUACCACCCUCUUCCAUGGGAAUCAAAUAAAAUAGCAUGUGUGCUCAGCCAACAUACCACCAGCAGAGAAGCCGCAGGCAGCCCCUCCCCAUUAGCAUCUCACUGCCAACCUCCCCAGAACUUGACUUCUUUCACUAAGUAGCGUGGUAAGAGCAUCUUUGAGAGGUAUUUAGAAUGUUACCUUUUUCAUAAAAUUGUCUACUUUCCCUUGGCCAAAUUAAUCUGGUUUAAUUGGCUUAGAACUAACUAGUUACUGGUCAGCAGAGUAUUUUAUAAAACUAAACAUACUUAAAGGGUUAGGGAAUGUAGCAUUGGUGGCAUAGAGCCUGCCUGGCAUAUGUAAGACCCUGUGUUCAAUCCGUCCACCACCGUCACAUACACUGUCAACAACAACAAUAGCAAUAGCAACAACAUCAAAACCAGAAGGUUGACUGGACGUUGGAAAGAUGGCUUAGUGAAGACCAUGUCUUGCUCUUGAAGAAGAUGUAAGCACCUAUGUGAGGUAGCUUAUGAUUUGGUUAUGAGUACCCACCUGAGGUAGCUCCAGGUGAUCGGAUGCCUUCUCUGGGGCUCUGAGGGCAACAGUGCCCAAAGGUAAACACACCCAGAUACGCAUAUGUAUAGUUUAUUCUCUAAAACAUGUAUUAAAAUAAAUGUAUUAUAAAUCUUCA